CAGAUCGGCGACCUCUCUCUCUCAGACCGACUCGGCGACUAACGACCUGUCUCUCAGACCGACUAACACCCAUCGUUCUCCUCCACAGCAGCAAGCAAGCAAGCCACCUCCGGUCCUCCACCUCCGGUCCCCUCAUCCGAUUCUUUACGCCGGAGUGAUCAGUAGCAAACAUUAUGAAGAGGCAAUCAAAAUCUGCUGCUACUAGUUCCGGUGCUAAUCCGAAAUCAACUUCUUCAUCUCAGUUUGUCACAGUUACUUUGGUAGUGCAAAUAUUUCAUAUAUGUUG